UAGCCAUGAUGUGGACAAGCACUUAGAAGAUCAUUAAACCUCUCCCAACAUUGAAAGAAAUUUUUUUCUUUUUUUUGUGAGAAGUUCAUGAUGACCCUUCUAAGAAU